UGAAAUAAAGUUGACAUGUCAUACUGGGAAAAAGGGAGUUAGUUAUUCAACAAGCUGAGUCACCGCUCUGCCGCAGCUACAAGAAUGAGACACCCUGCAGAAAUUCAGAGCAAACUGCCAGACUGCCAGGCUGAGUAGCAAAGAGAAACAGGUCUAGGGAUGACCUAACACACCCUUAUGAUUUUGAAAUGCCUGGAUUGGGAAGAAAGAGAGAAAGAAAGGAAGAAUUCAGAAAGAGAGAAGUGGAAUCUUUAGACUAUAUCCAAACCAUCAAGAAUCAGACAAAUGAAUGAAGUCCAAGAAAAGUUCCUAAGGAAAAUGGACAACAUGGCAUGGGAGAAAAGUAUUUGUGGCAAAGAGAUAAAAUCCUUCUGAAAACUGUGUUGCUACAUAAUAGCAGUAAGCUUAGCAUCACUAUAAAAAGAAACCAAUUUUUCCUUUGGAGGUAUAUGGCAUAUUACACGCUUGAGCACAAAUGAUGGUUAAGUCCAAAUUCUAAGAUCCAUAUUCUGAAGAAAUAAAUGUAUCUUACUUGCUGAA